GACGAACGCUGGCGGCGUGCCUAAUACAUGCAAGUAGAACGCUGAAGGAGGAGCUUGCUUCUCUGGAUGAGUUGCGAACGGGUGAGUAACGCGUAGGUAACCUGCCUGGUAGCGGGGGAUAACUAUUGGAAACGAUAGCUAAUACCGCAUAAGAGUAGAUGUUGCAUGACAUUUACUUAAAAGGUGCAAUUGCAUCACUACCAGAUGGACCUGCGUUGUAUUAGCUAGUUGGUGAGGUAACGGCUCACCAAGGCAACGAUACAUAGCCGACCUGAGAGGGUGAUCGGCCACACUGGGACGGAGACACGGCCCAGACUCCUACGGGAGGCAGCAGUAGGGAAUCUUCGGCAAUGGACGGAAGUCUGACCGAGCAACGCCGCGUGAGUGAAGAAGGUUUUCGGAUCGUAAAGCUCUGUUGUAAGAGAAGAACGAGUGUGAGAGUGGAAAGUUCACACUGUGACGGUAUCUUACCAGAAAGGGACGGCUAACUACGUG
rnacentral:rRNA from 1 species